AUUGAACGCUGGCGGCAGGCCUAACACAUGCAAGUCGAGCGGAUGGAGGGAGCUUGCUCCUGGAUUCAGCGGCGGACGGGUGAGUAAUGCCUAGGAAUCUGCCUGGUAGAGGGGGAUAACGUCCGGAAACGGGCGCGAAUACCGCAUACGUCAUGAGGGAGAAAGUGGGGGAUCUUCGGACCUCACGCUAUCAGAUGAGCCUAAGACGGAUUAGCUAGUUGGUGGGGUAAAGGCCUACCAAGGCGACGAUCCGUAACUGGUCUGAGAGGAUGAUCAGUCACACUGGAACUGAGACACGGUCCAGACUCCUACGGGAGGCAGCAGUGGGGAAUAUUGGGCAAUGGGCGAAAGCCUGAUCCAGCCAUGCCGCGUGUGUGAAGAAGGUCUUCGGAUUGUAAAGCACUUUAAGUUGGGAAGAAGAGCAGUAAGUUAAUACCUUGCUGUUUUGACGUUACCAACAGAAUAAGCACCGGCUAACUUCGUG
rnacentral:rRNA from 1 species